rnacentral:rRNA from 1 species
CCCUUAGAUGUUCUGGGCUGCACGCGCGCUACACUGAAGCUAUCAACACGUUUUCCCUCCCUGAGAAGGGCGGGUAACCUUUUGAAUCAGCUUCGUGGUAGGGAUCGGGGCUUGCAAUUGUUCCCCGUGAACCAGGAAUUCCUAGUAGACGCGAGUCAUAAGCUCGCAUCGAUUAAGUCCCUGCCCUUUGUACAUACCGCCCGUCGCUACUACCGAUUGAACGUUUUAGUGAGGCAUUUGGACCGACGCAUCUCAGUUUAACCGCUGGUUUGUGUUGGAAAGACUUCCAAACUUGAGCGUUUAGAGGAAGUAAAAGUCGUAACA